AGGAUAAAACAAGAAGAUGCAGAAAGUCUAAUGGCGACCAAGUAGUUGCUGAAAAUACUGCAAAGAUAGCAUCCAACAAGAAAGCAAUACAAUGGAACUGCCUUUCAACUUCAUUGCUUUCUCUCUGUUCUUAGCCUUUGUUUUAACUUUGAUCAAGGGAAUCAAGAGAUCAAAAGAACCCCAGAAACUACCACCAUCUCCUUGGAAACUACCUAUUAUUGGUCAUAUGCAUCAUUUAAUAGGCUCCCCACCACAUCAUGCUCUCAGAAAAUUAGCUCAAAAUUGUGGACCCCUAAUGCACAUUCAGCUAGGUGAAAUAUCUUCGAUUGUGGUAACUUCACCGCGUUUGGCGAAGGAGAUCAUGAAAACUCACGAUCUUGCCUUUGCAGACCGCGGAGAAUUUCUAUCUGGAAAGAUCAUAUGCUACAAUUGUUCAGACAUCGCUUGCUGUCGAUAUGGUGACUACUGGAGACAAAUGCGUAAAAUAUGCACCUUGGAGCUCCUUAGUGCUAAAAGUGUCCGAUCAUUUGCUUCUGUUCGCCAAGAUGAGGCUUUGCAUCUGAUAUCAUCGAUUAGGGUUCUAGCUGGUGCUCAAGAACCAAUCGAUUUAACAGAAAAAGUGUCCUCAUACACCAGUUCCGUGGUUUGCAGAGCAGCAUUUGGGAAAGUAAGCAAAGAUGAUCAUGUUGCAUUCUUGCAGCUACUCAAAGAAGUAACUCGCCUAACAAGUGCCUUCGAUAUUUCUGAUCUGUUUCCAUCAUUCAAGAUUCUUCAUUUUCUCCUUUCAGCGGAAACUAAACUUCUUAACAUCCACCACAAGGUAGAUAAAGUUUUGGAUAAGAUAAUCAAUCAGCAUCUUGAAAACCUAUCAGAAAGAAAAACAUCCACAGGUGAAUACGGCCAUGAAGAUUUAAUUGACGUCCUAUUACGAGUUCAAGGAAGUGAUGAACUCCAAUUUCCAAUUACCAACAACAAUAUCAAAGCUGUUAUUGUUAAUAUAUUUGCAGCAGGAAAUGAGACUUCAUCCGUAACAGUGGACUGGGCGAUGUCCGAAAUGAUUAGAAAUCCAGGUGUGAUGGCUAAGGCACAGAGUGAAAUAAGGAAUGCUUUCAGAGGAAAAAACUCAAUUGAAGAAACUGAUAUUCAACAACUGCAAUACCUAAAGUUAGUGAUUAAAGAAACUCUGAGGCUACACCCUCCUGCCCCUUUGUUGCUUCCAAGAGAGUGUAGGGUGGAAUGUGAAAUUGAUGGAUACAUCAUCCCUGCCAGAACAAGAGUGUUGGUCAAUGCCUGGGCAAUUGGAAGAGACCCUGAGUAUUGGGAUGAUCCAGAAUGUUUCAAACCAGAGAGAUUUGCAAACAGUUCCAUUGAUUUCAAUGGAGCUCACUUUGAGUAUCUCCCAUUUGGUGCAGGAAGGAGAAUUUGUGCAGGGAUUUCAUUUGGUUUGGCCAAUGUUGAGCUUCCUUUAGCUCUUUUGCUCUAUCAUUUCGAUUGGAAUCUCCCAAGUGGCCUCAAUUCCAGUGAUUUAGACAUGAAAGAGACUGUUGGAAUAGCUACAUCAAGAUCAGACAAUCUUUGCUUGAAGGCCACUUUAUAUGAUCCAUGAUAUAUCCUUGGUUCCACAAACCAAAUUUUGUGUACAAACUAAAGCUUGAAUUGGUAAUGUCUGCAGAUGCUGCCGUCCUCUUUGACAACAAGCAAGUUCAACUUGAUGGUUUUGUGACUAUAUUAUGAUACCAAAGAGAUACCAAUGGCUCUCUAAAAGGAUUGGCAAGUACGUGUUGACCUGGAAGGUCACCCCAAUAUCUUUGGAGAUUCAAAUAUCAGAUUGUCGAAAUGAAUCCAGAUGAAGGCUGAUGAUGGCUAGCUAAUGAUGGCUUGAAGAUGAAGACUGUCGGGCUUGAAGAUGGCUAGCUUGAUGGCUUGAAGAUGAAGAAUGAGAGUGAGAGACAGUGAAGAUGAAAGCUGAGAAAGUAGGAAAGCUGCUCUUAGUUGAGCUCCUUCUCGACUGAAGACUGGCAGACUGGCGGUGGCGGAGGAGGAAGAAAGGUGAGAGACGAAUUGACGAAGAGGCGAAAGAGCUUAAUAGAUUAGGUUUUGCACUUUUGCAUUUUUGUCCUUUUUGGAGG